rnacentral:rRNA from 1 species
AACUUAAAAGGAAUUGACGGAAGGGCACCACCAGGGGUAAACCGCUUCAUGCAGCCGCAGUAGCUCUGCUCCCAAAAGCAGCCCGAAAGGGUCAGUGGUGUUCCUGUCUGCGCUCCGGCGCAGCAAACCAAGUGCUAGUCUCCUCUGGAGGCAACAUCCUCAAAUUGCGGGAAACUCCUAAAGCCAGUGUCACCAAGCCGGCGUCGAAAAGGCGUCGGUGGCCGGGGUAACGACCUAGGGUACGGUAAAAGCACACUGGAUAAUGCAAUGGACAAUCCGCAGCCAAGCCUCGUCGCCACUGGGCACGGGGAAGGUUCAGAGACUAAAUGGGGAUGGGUGGUGGACAGAACCGAGACCACUGCUUAAGAUAUAGUCCGGCCGCGCUGGAAACGGCGUGGGUUGGCAAACCUAAAAACGGGAGCCUGCGGCUUAAUUUGACUCAACACGGGGAAACUCACCAGGUCCAGACACAAUGAGGAUUGACAGAUUGAGAGCUCUUUCUUGAUUUUGUGGGUGGUGGUGCAUGGCCGUUCUUAGUUGGUGGAGUGAUUUGUCUGCUUAAUUGCGAUAACGAACGAGACCUUAACCUGCUAAAUAGCCUGUAUUGCUUUGGCAGUACACCGGCUUCUUAGAGGGACUAUCGGCUCAAGCCGAUGGAAGUUUGAGGCAAUAACAGGUUAACACACAGGCUUGUAACAGUGGUCCUCACUAAAAUAUCCGCUAGUCGAACGCAUUCAUCUCUGUUGGGAAAGCUCCCUUUUAUUGGGCAGAGAAGGCGGCCACGGCUGCCUUUGCGUCGGCAACACUACCUGGUACAGGGAACGCCUGAAAAGGCCGAUCCUGUGGCGAGCUCGGGUCGCGCCGAGCCGUCGCAACGCACGCUAAGGAGUGGGCUAGGAAACUGGCUUAAGGUACGUGCUAAUCCCACGGGUAACCGUGCCUGAUCAAAUAGGCCCAAUAAGCCGAAGUGAUCAGGGCUCUUGGGUAGUUCCGGAGUGGUUUGUUACUCCCGGGGAUGGGCAGACAUGUCUGCCCGAACCGGGAGGAAGCAAAAAGCUGUGAUGCCCUUAGAUGUUCUGGGCCGCACGCGCGCUACACUGACGGAGCCAGCGAGUACUUCCUUGGCCGAAAGGCCCGGGUAAUCUUGUUAAACUCCGUCGUGCUGGGGAUAGAGCAUUCAAUUAUUGCUCUUCAACGAGGAAUCCCUAGUAAGCGCAAGUCAUCAGCUUGCGUUGAUUACGUCCCUGCCCUUUGUACACACCGCCCGUCGCUACUACCGAUUGAAUGGCUCAGUGAGGCGUCCGGACUGGCCCAGGGAGGUGGGCAACUACCACCCAGGGCCGGAAAGCUCUCCAAACUCGGUC